rnacentral:rRNA from 1 species
UGGAUUUGUGCCUUCGGGAACUGUGAGACAGGUGCUGCAUGGCUGUCGUCAGCUCGUGUUGUGAAAUGUUGGGUUAAGUCCCGCAACGAGCGCAACCCUUAUCCUUUGUUGCCAGCGGUCCGGCCGGGAACUCAAAGGAGACUGCCAGUGAUAAACUGGAGGAAGGUGGGGAUGACGUCAAGUCAUCAUGGCCCUUACGACCAGGGCUACACACGUGCUACAAUGGCGCAUACAAAGAGAAGCGACCUCGCGAGAGCAAGCGGACCUCAUAAAGUGCGUCGUAGUCCGGAUUGGAGUCUGCAACUCGACUCCAUGAAGUCGGAAUCGCUAGUAAUCGUGGAUCAGAAUGCCACGGUGAAUACGUUCCCGGGCCUUGUACACACCGCCCGUCACACCAUGGGAGUGGGUUGCAAAAGAAGUAGGUAGCUUAACCUUCGGGAGGGCGCUUACCACUUUGUGAUUCAUGACUGGGGUGAAGUCGUAACAAGGUAACCGUAGGGGAACCUGCGGUUGGA